rnacentral:rRNA from 1 species
AGCUGGUUGGUGAGGUAACGGCCCACCAAGGCGACGAUCGGUAGCCGGACUGAGAGGUUGAACGGCCACAUUGGGACUGAGACACGGCCCAGACUCCUACGGGAGGCAGCAGUGGGGAAUAUUGCACAAUGGGGGAAACCCUGAUGCAGCGACGCCGCGUGGAGGAAGAAGGUCUUCGGAUUGUAAACUCCUGUUGUUGGGGAAGAUAAUGACGGUACCCAACAAGGAAGUGACGGCUAACUACGUGCCAGCAGCCGCGGUAAAACGUAGGUCACAAGCGUUGUCCGGAAUUACUGGGUGUAAAGGGAGCGCAGGCGGGAAGACAAGUUGGAAGUGAAAUCUAUGGGCUCAACCCAUAAACUGCUUUCAAAACUGUUUUUCUUGAGUAGUGCAGAGGUAGGCGGAAUUCCCGGUGUAGCGGUGGAAUGCGUAGAUAUCGGGAGGAACACCAGUGGCGAAGGCGGCCUACUGGGCACCAACUGACGCUGAGGCUCGAAAGUGUGGGUAGCAAACAGGAUUAGAUACCCUGGUAGUCCACACCGCAAACGAUGAUUACUAGGUGUUGGAGGAUUGACCCCUUCAGUGCCGCAGUUAACACAAUAAGUAAUCCACCUGGGGAGUACGACCGCAAGGUUGAAACUCAAAGGAAUUGACGGGGGCCCGCACAAGCAGUGGAGUAUGUGGUUUAAUUCGACGCAACGCGAAGAACCUUACCAAGUCUUGACAUCCCUUGACAGGCAUAGAAAUAUGUUUUCUCUUCGGAGCAAGGAGACAGGUGGUGCAUGGUUGUCGUCAGCUCGUGUCGUGAGAUGUUGGGUUAAGUCCCGCAACGAGCGCAACCCUUAUGGUCAGUUACUACGCAAGAGGACUCUGGCCAGACUGCCGUUGACAAAACGGAGGAAGGUGGGGAUGACGUCAAAUCAUCAUGCCCUUUAUGACUUGGGCUACACACGUACUACAAUGGCGUUAAACAAAGAGAAGCAAGACCGCGAGGUGGAGCAAAACUCAGAAACAACGUCCCAGUUCGGACUGCAGGCUGCAACUCGCCUGCACGAAGUCGGAAUUGCUAGUAAUCGUGGAUCAGCAUGCCACGGUGAAUACGUUCCCGGGCCUUGUACACACCGCCCGUCACACCAUGAGAGCCGGGGGGACCCGAAGUCGGUAGUCUAACCGCAAGGAGGACGCCGCCGAAGGUAAAACUGGUGAUUGGGGUGAAGUCGUAACAAGGUAGCCGUAGGAGAACCUGCGGCUG